UACAGAGGGUGCGAGCGUUAAUCGGAAUUAUUGGGCGUAAAGGGCGCGUAGGCGGUCUGACAAGUGGAAGGUGAAAUCCCCGCGCUUAACGUGGGAACUGCCUUCCAAACUGUUUGACUUGAGUCCGGGAGAGGUGAGUGGAAUUCCCAGUGUAGCGGUGAAAUGCGUAGAUAUUGGGAGGAACACCAGUGGCGAAGGCGGCUCACUGGACCGGAACUGACGCUGAGGCGCGAAAGCGUGGGGGGCAAACAGG
rnacentral:rRNA from 1 species